UACGGGGGGGGCAAGCGUUGUUCGGAAUUACUGGGCGUAAAGGGCUCGUAGGCGGCCAACUAAGUCGGACGUGAAAUCCCUCGGCUUAACCGGGGAACUGCGUCCGAUACUGGAUGGCUUGAGUAUGGGAGAGGGAUGCGGAAUUCCAGGUGUAGCGGUGAAAUGCGUAGAUAUCUGGAGGAACACCGGUGGCGAAGGCGGCAUCCUGGACCAUUACUGACGCUGAGGAGCGAAAGCCAGGGGGAGCAAACGGG
rnacentral:rRNA from 1 species